CCUACGGGUGGCAGCAGUAAGGAAUAUUGGUCAAUGGGCGCAAGCCUGAACCAGCCAUGCCGCGUGAAGGAUGACGGCCCUACGGGUUGUAAACUUCUUUUGUACGGGAAAAAACCUCCGGUCGUGAACCGGAGCUGAUGGUACCGUAAGAAUAAGGAUCGGCUAACUCCGUGCCAGCAGCCGCGGUAAUACGGAGGAUCCAAGCGUUAUCCGGAUUCAUUGGGUUUAGACGGAAUGCUAAGGGAGUGGUGAAAUCCUACGGCUCAACUGUAGAACUGCCAUUGAUACUGUCGUUCUUGAGUACACUUGAAGUGGGCGGAAUGUGUCAUGUAGCGGUGAAAUGCUUAGAUAUGACACAGAACACCGAUCGCGAAGGCAGCUCACUAAAUUGUAACUGACGCUCAGGCACGAAAGCGUGGGGAUCAAACAGGAUUAGAUACCCCUGUAGUC
rnacentral:rRNA from 1 species